UCUUUUGUUAUGUGGACAUAUUUAAAAAUGAAGUCUCUGCUUCAAAAGAUUAAGCUGGUUGUGCAAGACUCUGUAAAGUAACCAUUAAGCAUAGUAAAGGGAGUCCUUAUACAGCCUGUUUAUUGAUAUGAAAUAUGAAAUUACUUUACUUAAGGUUGUGAACAUGGCAGAGAGGUUCCUCACUGUAAUUGACCCAAUGGGGAAUAGAAAAGAAUAAUUUGCACAGAUAUAUUUUUUCAAGAGAGGAAAAAAAAAGUUUAAAUUUUUUUUUUAUGCUGUUACAGAAACUUCCUGAGCAACAGGUCAAGGGAGGAAUCCAAAUAUGUGUGGACAGUGCACACCAUGGACCACAACACACAGAUGGAUUUCAGCAGUUGUGGGGUUCUAGUGUUGAAGUACGCCAAAAAUUUCCUUUUGAGUGGAAACAUAUCUGAUGUGCAGACAACACCAGAAGCUGUCAGUGAACAAAGGAUGGACAUAGCCUGUAUAUUAUUGGAAAAUAGCUA